rnacentral:rRNA from 1 species
GACGAACGCUGGCGGCGUGCCUAAUACAUGCAAGUCGAGCGGACGGAUGGGAGCUUGCUCCCAGACCGUCAGCGGCGGACGGGUGAGUAACACGUGGGCAACCUGCCUGUAAGACUGGGAUAACUCCGGGAAACCGGGGCUAAUACCGGAUAACUCUUUCCCUCCCAUGAGGGAAAGCUGAAAGAUGGCAUCUCGCUAUCACUUACAGAUGGGCCCGCGGCGCAUUAGCUAGUUGGUGAGGUAACGGCUCACCAAGGCGACGAUGCGUAGCCGACCUGAGAGGGUGAUCGGCCACACUGGGACUGAGACACGGCCCAGACUCCUACGGGAGGCAGCAGUAGGGAAUCUUCCGCAAUGGACGAAAGUCUGCCGGAGCAACGCCGCGUGGGUGAUGAAGGUUUUCGGAUCGUAAAACUCUGUUGUCAGGGAAGAACAAGUACCGGAGUAACUGCCGGUACCUUGACGGUACCUGGCCAGAAAGCCACGGCUAGCUACGUG